rnacentral:rRNA from 1 species
GACGAACGCUGGCGGCGUGCUUCAUACAUGCAAGUCGAACGAGAAGCUGACUUCGGUCUGUGGAAAGUGGCGGACGGGUGAGUAUAUGUAGGAAAUCUGCCUUUAGGAGGGGGACAACAGAGGGAAACUUCUGCUAAUACCCCAUAUGAGCGUAGCUGAAAUGCUAUUCUUUAAAACUCCGGUGCCUAAAGAUGAGCCUGCAUCUGAUUAGCUAGUUGGUAGUGUAAUGGACUACCAAGGCGACGAUCAGUAGCUGGUUUGAGAGGAUGAUCAGCCACAAUGGGACUGAGACACGGCCCAUACGCCUACGGGAGGCAGCAGUAGGGAAUUUUGCGGAAUGAGCGAAAGCCUGACGCAGCAACGCCGCGUGAACGAUUAAGCCCUUCGGGGUGUAAAGUUCUGUCAGUGGGGACGAAACUUGACGGUACCCACAGAGGAAGCACCGGCUAACUCCGUG